GUUGUUUUCAGAUAUUCCUGAAUGAAGGAAACAGGAACAGCCAUCAGACCAGGUCCUGUAAGGCACUACUGGCAAUGAGACUUAACCAAGACUCACUUCUUAUGCGUUGCUUAGAAUAAUAAUUUUAACACUAUCCUGAGUGAAUGAAGCGCAUAUAACUGAGGGAUGUUACUUGGUUGAUUUUAGUACUUUCAAGAAACCAAACAAGUCGCCACAGCCUGCUGCUAGCUUGCACCCCUGUGUGUAGGCAGGAUUUCUUCAUCUGGUUGCUAAUGUUCCAUUAAUUCUGGAAGCUGUAAUUGCUGGACAGACCUUAUUCAUAUGUAAUUCAAGCCCUGAAACACUUAAUGCUGUGUACUUUCUUAAUUCCUUACUGAGUCUGAGCUGGAUGACUAGAAGCUGAUUCAAGAAAUUCUCAUUUCCUACCGCUGCAUCUCACCCUGAAGCUGAACUGGUGCUACGCUAGGUGCUGCACAGACAUGAACUAAGAGGCAAUCCCUGUUACAAAGAGCUUACAGUCUGCAGUGGUGGCCUGCAGCAGGGAGUCCGCUGUCAUCGUUUCUGUAUUAAAGAUGGGGAAAUCACAUGCUGCUUGCUCAAAAUUGUACGCAAUGUCUGCGGAAGAGUCAAGAACUGAACCCAGAACAAAUCCUUUACUGAUGAAUGUAUCAUGUUUCCAGUGGCUACUUGCUGAUAAUGCCAGGCAGUGCGUUACCCCCAGAGAGAGCUGCUGUGCCUGAAGGGCGCUGUAGCAUUAAAUAAAAGCCUGAAACCAGAAGGCUGGGACAUGCUCCUACAACUCUGAGCUGGGCCUUUGUAAAGAUAACUUGCACCGGGGGUUAGCUCUGCAGCUGCAUCCACCUUGUAAACCUGCAACCCUUUGCUCCGGCACCUUGCGACUGGGCGAGAGCUCCAGCCCUGUGGGUGUGUUCAGUUCAGCGUGCACAGGCUUCGUUUUGGAGCAAUUUCAGAUCCGUCUGCACAGCAACAUGUUCCUGCAGGAUAUUUUGGUUUUAUUUUUAGGUGGUAAAUCCACUAAUCACUUGUUUAGUGAACCAAGAUCUCUAGCAACUCUUACCUGGCAGGCAAGAAGGAACAGCUGCACCAUAUUUUGCCAGUUUCUUUCCUCCAGUGCCAGAGACCUGAGAGGAUGGUUCCUCAGCUCAGCAUCCACUGUGAAGUCCUGUUCUUUAUGUUAAAGCAGGCAGUGAAGAAACAGAUCAGAUUGGAAAUCUGUAAUUCAGCCUGCUUAAUCCAAGAAAAACAAACAAACAAAAAAGCAGUAUCUACAAGGCAGAAAAUAAAUAUGUGGCUUUUAGUGAACUUUCUGCAAUCCUGGAGCAAACAGGGCGGCUCGUUGCUCCAUGCUGCUGCCAGAGCCGGUCUGGAAGACAUACUAGUGGGAAGGUGGCUGGGAGUUGUGUGCUUUGAACGUUAUGCAGUGGAGAUCAUUUGUAAAAUGAGAGGUAAUUAUCUGCCUGUGUGAGAGUAUCUUAGUGCUGAGUAGCAAGGCAAGGGCAUCCUGAAUUGUACCACCUACCACGCAAAGAAAGUCCUGGAAUUUUCUCCUACCACAAAGGCUUUGAGUCUGCAGAGUAUCUUGGCUAUUUGGCUAACGAGUAAGUCUGCUUAUAGCCCUGCUGAUUACAGGAUCUAACUGUGUAAAAAGUAUUUUUUCUCUCUCUCAUUCACUGAUGCACUCAAAGAAAGAUGAAACUGAUGGAGGCAGGAACAGGAUUUGUUCCCUGUCCCAGAGCAGCAUCCCUGGAGCGGUGCAGCCACACCACAGAAAUACUUCCACGUUGCUGUGGCUGGCCUCUAACAGGAGGUCCAGGGGUGAGAUUUCUGUGGGGACACUAACUUCACCAUUUAUACUUCUCAUUAAUAGGUGUCAGUCGUUUGCAUUUAUAGCAGUGCACUAACUUUAACAACACCAUUUUUGCCUUGGGGUAGUGUGGUUUUUUGGUCCUCGCAGUAAAAUCUGCACAGAUUUUUAAAGUAAAAAUACUGUUUAAGUAGAAGACUAAUAAGGGUUAUCCUAAGCACGUGUACAUACAGCCUCAGGAAUGUUCUCUUCGCAUCUCCGACUUCUGUUACAUGUAAGCCAAAAAGAGCUGAAGUGGGAAGCUGCGUGAGGAAGGGGAGUAUUACCUGCUUCAGGUAUCUGGUGCAGGGCAGCACUGACCCCAGAGGAAUGGUUCUCAUCCUUAUUGCAGCAGGGCGAGCUGCCAGAGCGAUCAGGGAGCCUGGACAGAAAACGCUAGAGUCUGGUGUUUUUUGUUUUUUUUUUUCCCCCCUGCCUUUUUUUCUUUUCCAGCUCCUCUAGGAUGUAGUUAACUGUAGUGUUGCCAUGCGGCUAGAAGGGCUAUUAUUGUUUGUGUGAAACUGGAUAGAAAUGGGUGGUUAAGUCUGCUUCAGAUGUAAUUAAGUCUGAAAUGCCUCAGUGGUCACAUUAGAAGCACUAAUUUUAAGCUCACUUAUUGGUUUAGGCCAUAGCCAUUUCUUAGAUAAAAAGGCAAAAGGUUUUUUUUUAUCCUUCAUAUGAUUUUCUGUGGAAAUGAGGAAAAGAAAAAAGUGUUUUUUUAAAGUAAAGACAGUAUACCCACUACAGACUACUUGUCCUGCCAAGAUAAAUCGGUUAAGAAACCCCAAACCAUUUUUUAACGGAAAAAGUAUCUAAUCAUCCUUUUUUUGUCCAUCAGUGGAACAAACUGCA